CGAAGGAAGUCAAGAAGAAAGAAAGAAUCGCUGAAAAACUGCUGUCGCUGUAUCCGCUCUUCUGUUUAUGGUUUUGGUGCGUCUUGCCCGUUGUUUUUUUUUUUUUUUUUUUUUUUUGCUC
rnacentral:ribozyme from 1 species